rnacentral:rRNA from 1 species
GGGAAUAUUGGGCAAUGGAGGAAACUCUGACCCAGCAACGCCGCGUGAAUGAUGAAGGUCUUCGGAUUGUAAAGUUCUUUUCUAAGGGAAGAAGAAAGUGACGGUACCUUAGGAAUAAGCCUCGGCUAACUACGUGCCAGCAGCCGCGGUAAUACGUAGGAGGCAAGCGUUAGCCGGAAUGACUGGGCGUAAAGGGUGCGUAGGUGGUUCAGCAAGUUAGUAGCGUAACUCCGGAGCUCAACUUCGGCACUACUACUAAAACUGUUGGACUUGAGUGCAGGAGGGGCAACUGGAAUUUCUAGUGUAGCGGUGGAAUGCGUAGAUAUUAGGAAGAACACCGGUGGCGAAGGCGAGUUGCUGGACUGUAACUGACACUGAGGCACGAAAGCGUGGGGAGCAAACAGG